rnacentral:ncRNA from 1 species
UUUUCAGUGCCAUGUAGUUAUUUACGAGGCUAAGAGAGAAUCAGGUGGAAAUCCUGAGCGAUCCGGUCACUGUAAACAGGGAGCAGUAUUCCGUUAUGCCAUUGGCAUAUAAUGCUGAGAAGGGGGAAUCCUGUGAUGAUCUGUAAGCCAGGAAACCUGCUGAAUAAACA